GAUGAACGCUGGCGGCGUGCCUAAUACAUGCAAGUCGAGCGAACAGACGAGGAGCUUGCUCCUCUGACGUUAGCGGCGGACGGGUGAGUAACACGUGGAUAACCUACCUAUAAGACUGGGAUAACUUCGGGAAACCGGAGCUAAUACCGGAUAAUAUAUUGAACCGCAUGGUUCAAUAGUGAAAGACGGUUUUGCUGUCACUUAUAGAUGGAUCCGCGCUGCAUUAGCUAGUUGGUAAGGUAACGGCUUACCAAGGCAACGAUGCGUAGCCGACCUGAGAGGGUGAUCGGCCACACUGGAACUGAGACACGGUCCAGACUCCUACGGGAGGCAGCAGUAGGGAAUCUUCCGCAAUGGGCGAAAGCCUGACGGAGCAACGCCGCGUGAGUGAUGAAGGUCCUCGGAUCGUAAAACUCUGUUAUUAGGGAAGAACAAAUGUGUAAGUAACUGUGCACGUCUUGACGGUACCUAAUCAGAAAGCCACGGCUAACUACGUG
rnacentral:rRNA from 1 species